UAGCGCCUGCGCAGCUGCGGGAAGAAAGCGCGGGGCAGGAUUUGCAGAGCUCGUCAACCUCCCUUAGCGCAGCGCGGGUGUCCAAAGCCGGCCUGCCUCUGCUGCAGUGUGUACCGUGAUGGCUCCCCCCUGGCGUCCAGAUCUUCUCCGGUCAUGUCAUUACAACUUGAACUGCCUCUUAACUCUGAAUUAGGAGAUAUUCGGGCUAGUUUCACUCCAGUCUCCUGACCCCCAAACGGGAGGGUUGAAGAAAAAGGACCCAAAAAGUCAGGGACAGUUACCAGUUCAUUUACAUGCAAAAGACAUCUGGAACAGAGAGACAAUGAAGAAUUAACACACAUCUAAGGAAACUUCUGUACUAUGUUGACUAGUGGCUUCUACAGCCACCCUCCCCUACAAAUUCCACCUGGAACCUCAGAAUGUGACCUUAUUUGGAAAUAGGGUCUUUGCUAAUAUAGUCAAGUUAAAGUGAGUUUAUGCCAGACUACAGUUAAACCUAAUCCAGUGACUAGGAUCCUUACAAGAAAAAGAAACUUUGGACACAAAGACAUACACUCAUACAGAAGGAAGAUGGCCAUGUGAAGGAGGAAGAGGUUGGAGUCAUGCUGCCAAAAGCCAAAAAACACCAAGGAUUCCUGGCAACCACCAGAAGCUGGGAGAGAAACAUGGGAUAGCUUAUCCUUCAGAAUCUCCAGAAGGAACCAACCAUGUCGACAUUUUGAUUUUGGACUUCUGGCCUCCUGAACUGUGAGAGAAUAAAUUUCUGUUGUUUUAAGCCACUCAGUUUAUGGUAAUUUGUUACAGCAGCCCUAAAAAAUGAAUACAGCUUCUAACAUUGAAAACAAAAACAAUGGGGCACCUGGGCGGCUCAAUCGGUUAAGCAUCUGCCUUCAGCUCAGGUCAUGAUCCCGGAGUCCUGGGAUGGAGCCCUGGGUCAGGCUCCCUGCUCAGUGGGGUGUCUGCUUCUCCCUCUACCCUUCUCCCCUGCUUGUGAUCGCUCUCUUUCUCUCUCUCUAAUAAAUAAAUAAAAUCUUUAAAACAACAACAACAAAAAAACAAUAAAAAGCAACUUGGAGUAAAGGGAGAAUAAACAUAGAGAAGACAGCUUCUCAGGAAGAAAAGUAAGGUUUUCAAAUAGAUAAGAGAAGUUAAAUGAUAUUGCAAUGUGAACUAGGAAAAGUAUACCAUAAAAAGGAAUAAUCAGAGCAAAAAAUUCUAAGAAGUUAAAAAUAUAGAAAGAAAAUUAUUCACUAGAACAGUUACAAAAUGAAGAUCUCCCAGAAAGUAGGACAAAAAGUCAGAGAAAUGGAAAAUAGGUAAGAAAAUAUAAGAAAAUAAGAAGAAUGGUCCAAGAAAUCAAAAUUCAAACAGGAGUUCCAAAAAGAGAGAAUAGAAAAAAGAGAGGGCACAGAAUCAAUAAAACCAGCAAAAUUGUCCAGAACUAUAAGACAUGAUUUACUUAUUGAAAGUACCCACCAAGUGCCCAACGGUGAAUGAGAAAAGAUGUACACCAACUCUUAUCUCUGAAUUUCAGAUACAUUUUUGAAGAGAUAAAACAAAUCUUCUACAAAAAGUGUUAGGAGUCAGAAUGGCUUCAGAUCCAUGGUAGACUGACUGCAUUAAGGGCCCUAAUUAAUGGCCGCCCUAUAUCCAUAAGCUUUGCCAUGUAACUUCGUAGUCCCUUUCUACUUUGACGAUGGCCUUGCCCAUAUGACUUACAUUGGUCAAAAGGACAGUAGUGGAGAGAACACUUAAAAAAAAAAAAAGGAAAUCAGUGAGGUGAUAGAUGUGUUAAUUAACUUGGUGGAGAGAAUCCUCUCACAAUGUAUAUAUCAAAUCAUCAUGUCAUACACUUUAAAUAUAUUACAAUUGUAGUUGUCAACUAUGCCUCUCAAUAAAGCUGAAAAAAAGAGUGGGUUAUACGGGAAAAUUUAGAUACACAGAUCCAUGGGACAGGUAGAGUUGAGAAACAGAUACACACAAAUAGAGGCAAUUGAUAUUUUUAAAUCAAUUUUAUUUUUUCGA